rnacentral:pre_miRNA from 1 species
CCAUGAAUCACCUGGGGAACUUGUUAAAAUGCAGAUUCUCAUUCCGUACAUCUGGGCUGAGAUCCUGCAGUUCUAAGAGGCUCCCAGGUGAUGCUGAU